rnacentral:rRNA from 1 species
UACAGAGGGGCAAGCGUUGUUCGGAAUUACUGGGCGUAAAGGGCGCGUAGGCGGCCUUCUAAGUCGAACGUGAAAUCCCUGGGCUUAACCCAGGAACUGCGUCCGAUACUGGAAGGCUUGAAUCCGGGAGAGGGAUGCGGAAUUCCAGGUGUAGCGGUGAAAUGCGUAGAGAUCCGGAGGAACACCAGCGGCGAAGGCGGCAUCCUGGACUGGUCCUGACACUCAUGAGCGAAAGCGUGGGGAGCGAGUCCGG